rnacentral:rRNA from 1 species
AGUGAACGCUGGCGGCGUGCCUAACACAUGCAAGUCGAACGAUGAGGGAGGAGCUUGCUCUUCCUGAUUAGUGGCGCACGGGUGAGUAAUGCAUAGAUAAUGUGCCCCUUAGUUCGGGAUAGCCACUGGAAACGGUGAUUAAUACCGGAUACUCCUUCUUAUCAUAAGAUAAGUCGGGAAAGUUUUUCGCUAAGGGAUCAGUCUAUGUUCCAUCAGUUAGUUGGUGAGGUAACGGCUCACCAAGACAAUGACGGAUAUCUGGUUUGAGAGGAUGAUCAGACACACUGGAACUGAGACACGGUCCAGACUCCUACGGGAGGCAGCAGUGAGGAAUAUUGCACAAUGGAGGAAACUCUGAUGCAGCAACGCCGCGUGGAGGAUGACGCAUUUCGGUGUGUAAACUCCUUUUAUUAGGGAAGAUAAUGACGGUACCUAAUGAAUAAGCACCGGCUAACUCCGUGCCAGCAGCCGCCGUAA